rnacentral:rRNA from 1 species
GACGAACGCUGGCGGCGUGCUUAACACAUGCAAGUCGAACGGAAAGGCCCUGCUUUUGUGGGGUGCUCGAGUGGCGAACGGGUGAGUAACACGUGAGUAACCUGCCCUUGACUUUGGGAAAACUUCAGGAAACUGGGGCUAAUACCGGAUAGGAGCUCCUGCUGCAUGGUGGGGGUUGGAAAGUUUCGGCGGUUGGGGAUGGACUCGCGGCUUAUCAGCUUGUUGGUGGGGUAGUGGCUUACCAAGGCUUUGACGGGUAGCCGGCCUGAGAGGGUGACCGGCCACAUUGGGACUGAGAUACGGCCCAGACUCCUACUGGAGGCAGCAGUGGGGAAUAUUGCACAAUGGGCGGAAGCCUGAUGCAGCAACGCCGCGUGCGGGAUGACGGCCUUCGGGUUGUAAACCGCUUUCGCCUGUGACGAAGCGUGAGUGACGGUAAUGGGUAAAGAAGCACCGGCUAACUACGUG